rnacentral:rRNA from 1 species
CUUGGGAUAACAUUGCGAAAGCGGUGCUAAUACCGAAUAAGACCACGGCAUCACAUGAUGCAGUGGGAAAAGGUGGCCUCUGUAUAUGCUAUCACUUGGAGAUAAGCUCGCGGACCAUUAGCUUGUUGGUAGGGUAACGGCCUACCAAGGCCAAGAUGGUUAGCUGGUCUGAGAGGAUGAUCAGCCACACUGGAACUGAGACACGGUCCAG